GAUGAACGCUGACAGAAUGCUUAACACAUGCAAGUCAACUUGAAUUUGGGUUUUUAACUUAGGUUUGGGUGGCGGACGGGUGAGUAACGCGUAAAGAACUUGCCUCACAGCUAGGGACAACAUUUGGAAACGAAUGCUAAUACCUAAUAUUAUGAUAAUAGGUCAUCCUAUAAUUAUGAAAGCUAUAAGCGCUGUGAGAGAGCUUUGCGUCCCAUUAGCUAGUUGGAGAGGUAACGGCUCACCAAGGCGAUGAUGGGUAGCCGGCCUGAGAGGGUGAUCGGCCACAAGGGGACUGAGACACGGCCCUUACUCCUACGGGAGGCAGCAGUGGGGAAUAUUGGACAAUGGACCAAGAGUCUGAUCCAGCAAUUCUGUGUGCACGAUGAAGUUUUUCGGAAUGUAAAGUGCUUUCAGUUGGGAAGAAAGAAAUGACGGUACCAACAGAAGAAGUGACGGCUAAAUACGUG
rnacentral:rRNA from 1 species